AGACAUACAGACAAAGGAUGUUUAUUAGACCUUUAACCCACAUAUACAUCUGACCUGCUGCUGUGGGGCAGGAAACCCCAAAACUGCUCAGAACUGGAGCAGAUCAUGACCAACCCUGGGGGAAUCCAUGGACCCUGCAUUUCUCUGAGACACUAGGACAGUCCCACCUUCCUGCUUGUGACCUGAGACACCCACUCACAGACUACAUCCUGCCUCCUUGUGAAGCAGCCUGACAGUCAAGAUGCUGCUCCUCAGUGGAUUAACUUUCUCCUGCCUCUGGGCUUUUGGGCUUGGGCAGUUGGAGCCAAUCGGAAUAUCAGUCACCAGAGCAGUAAGCCAGAGUGCCCAAAUAUCCUGUAAAGUUUCUCUUGAAGGCUUUGACAAAGUAGACAUACAUUGGUACCGGCAGAAGACAAAUCAACCAUUUGAGUAUCUAAUAUAUGUCAGGAAUGAUAAUACUCAUCGCCCUUUAGAAGGAAUCAGCAAGAAAAUUGAAGCAAAGAAAGAUAUGCAAACUUCUACUGCAACCUUGAUCAUAAAUUCCUUGAAGAAAGAAGAUGAAGCCAUCUACUACUGUGCACUCUGGGUUGAGUCAUCAUGGAUCAAAGUAUUUUCAAAAGGGACGAAGCUCAUAGUAAUUCCCUCAGACAAACACCUUGGUUCAGAUGUUUUCCCCAAGCCUACCAUUUUUCUUCCUUCUGUUGCUGAAACAAAUCUCCAUAAGGCUGGGACAUACCUUUGUCUCCUUGAGAAAUUCUUCCCUGAUGUUAUAAGGGUAUACUGGAAAGAAAAGGAUGGUGAUAAGAUUCUGAAAUCUCAAGAGGGAAAUAGCAUGAAGACUAAUAACACAUACAUGAAGUUUAGCUGGCUGACUGUGACUGAGGAUUCAAUGGAUAAAGAGCAUAAAUGUAUUGUCAAACAUGAAAACAAUCAGGGAGGAGUUGAUCAAGAGAUUCUGUUUCCUCCCAUAGAUAAAGUUGCCAACAUCAUUUCUCCCACAGAAGCUUAUUUGAAAACUGAAAAUGCUUUCACAACUAUUUCUAUCAAUCCCAGAGGUGAAAAUGUUAAUAAUACUACUGACCUGGAAGCUUGCUUGGAAGAAAAAAGGGAUGUGCUGCAGAUUCAGGUGACGAAUACCUCUGCAUUCUACACCUACCUCAUCCUGUUCUUCAAGAGUGUGGUCCACUUGGCCUUCGUUAUAGUCUGUGUGUUUAGAAGAGCAGCUCUGCGUUGUGACGGUCAAAGUUCGUAAUGGAGGAUGAAACAGGAGGGUCACGUGGCCGUCAUCCUUCUCUGCCCCUCAAUGUCUUCUGAGGGUCUAGCUGGAUGUGCUUGCUGCUUGGACCUCCUCAAGGUCACACAUGUGGGAUUUCGUAUCAUUACUAUACAAAUGUUUUCAAAACAGGGAGGGAACUGAUCAACUUCACUCUACAACAAAUAGUAGCCCAUGGAAGCACCCAGCCAUCCUAACCCAUCCUCUCUCAGUGCCCCCCCCAAAACAGCCCAGAGCAUCACAGGCCCAAUGUACACAAACUGCAGCUUCUAGUCACCCCACUUCAUGCCCUUGAACCAGAUAAUGCCCUAAAAGCCUCUACUUCACAUGCUCCAAAGAAUCUUAUUUGAACUUGAACUCUGUGCUUUGUUUUGCAAAACACAAUAAAAAUCAAGUCUACUCUUGA